AGCCCUGCGGUGUCCGACAUAUAAGAUUGCAAAUCCUGAGUAGCAGAUUAACCCCUGCCGGGGCUU
rnacentral:tRNA from 1 species